rnacentral:rRNA from 1 species
AAUGAACGCUGGCGGCAUGCCUAAUACAUGCAAGUCGAACGACCAGACGAGGUGCUUUCCCCUCUGGCGGUCGAGGGGGGCAGGGGAGUGACAUGUGGAGAAACUAGCUAUAAGACUGGGGUAAAUUCAGCAAAACGGAGCUAAUAACGGAAAAUUUAUUGAAGAGCAAAGUUCAAGAGUGAAGGACGGUUUUGCAGUCACGUAGCGGUUGACCCGCGCCGCAUUAGCUAGUUGGUAAGGUAACGGCUUACCAAGGCAACGAUCCGUAGCAGGCCUGAGAGGAUGAUCGGCCACACUGGAACUGAGACACGGCCCAGACUCCUACGGGAGGCAGCAGUAGGGAAUUUUCCGCAAUGGGCGAAAGCCUGACGCAGCAAUGCCGCGUGAGUGAUGAAGGCCUUCGGGUCGUAAAGCUCUUUUGGCUGGGAAGAACAAGUGCCCUAUUAUCCAGGCUCGGCAUGACGGUACCAAAACAGAAAGCCCCGGCUAACUACGUG